CCUCUCUCUCACUCUCUCUCUCUCUCUGUUUCUUUGUUUCUGAAUUUGAAGGGUCCACGGAAUCGUUGUAUGAGCACGGGAACUCUCAAGAGGUGAUGCAUUCAUGUACUUGUAAUACUAUGUAUUAUGAAUCUUAAGGCGUUACUUUGGGAAAUAUACAAUAACAUGAACGAUUUAUAUAACCACAUGAAUUCAAGUAGCCAGGUCCUACUCCUAGCUAUUGAAUUAAUACUGAGCUCUUGAAUUUCUUUUUUCCUUUCUCCUAUCUGCUCCGAUUGUGGGCUCUCAAAAGUUUGUGGGUUUAGAGGGUCUUUCAUUGGGCUUUUAGUUUGUGGGGUGUACGGACAACUAUGUUGUUUUUGUGAAUUUUAAGGUUCACAGGUUGAUUCUGUUGUUUGGUUCGUUUUUUGGAUCUGGGUUUUAGUUUUAGCUUGUAUUUAUUUAUUUAUUUUUGGUAAAUGUUGCAUCUUUGCUCUUGUGGUAUGGAAUAGGAGGUGAUGAAGUAAGUGGUAGUUUGACUUAGCUUGAGAAGAUACUUGUACUGCAGUCUGUGACUUCGGAGUUCCUGGUUAGUUUGGUUUUGUGAAGGGGUUUAAGAUUUUUGGGUUUUAUUUUGAGAGGGAUAUGGUGGUGAAUUUGAUUAUCAUGGUGAUGGUGAUUCAUGGGUAGUAGAACAGUGAAGGAUGGCUCUCCAUAUAUCAGACUGAAUAUUUUCUAAUAGUUUAGGCAAGGCAUAUAUUUUAUUUCAAAUUAAUCAGAACAGUUAAGUGGGCGAAAGUGUGGGGGUUUCAAUCAAUGUUUGUGCGAUAAUAUGUGAACAGGUAAAAAAGAGUAAAACAAUUGCUAUCUUUGAUUAUUUCCCUGGUCUACAAACACAAUUAUUUCGAUUCACUAUCCUAGUUAAAAUGUUUUAUCAGAUCAUCCUAGUGCUCAGGUGUCAUCUCACUAUUUAUGUAGGCGUACCUUUUCUUCUGGAUUAUUUCCUUUUCACAAUCGUCUUUUACAAAUUAAUUUGAGUUUAAAAUUUGGGUAUAAUAGUAGGUUAAAAUUGUGAUCAAAUGUUGAUUGAUGAAUUCAGUCGCGAGUAAUCAUUCAAUUCUAAUUGUCUAUACUGUGGUGAUUUUAUGAAACUGAAAAUUGUGUUUGAAAGUUCAAUUAUGUUUUGAACAUAUAUAGGCUCUUUAUGGAUGCAUGUUUUUGUGGAUGUUAGUUGUAUUCUUAGAAUACUUUUAGCUUUUAGUACCUGCCUAAUGAAUAUGGAUUAAAAUACUUUUUAUGGUUCUUUUUUUUCUUUUCGGCAGUUUAUUACUGAUGAUUUUGAUGAUCUUGUUAUUUUCAGUGGCACAAAAGUAAACACCAUAGGUUCCUGAAUUUCGGAAUUCCGAACUUUUGAGCAAUCACUUGGAUUACACAUAGAUGUGGACCUAAGUAUAAGUAUGUAGCCAAAACUGAACCUUUGACCGGAUUAGAUUAAUCUUGUUGUUGCUCUUUCAAUUACCACUUAAACAGUAUUUCUUUUCUAUUCAUCAUUUUUUAUUUUUCUUUAACUUUAAUAAGUGCAUAACAAGUUUUCCCUACUAAAUUCUUGAGUAGAAAGCGUUGUUUCCAAUCUCUCCUUUCUUUGCCAUGUAGAAUGAGAAACUCAAUUAUUGUCCUAAAAUGCCCCUAUUGUAUGUUGUAAAUAAUAUAUUAUAUAUAUAUAUAUAUAUACACAUAUAUAAAUUUCCUGGUGGCUUUCCUCAUAACUAUGUACUUAACCCAAUAAUCAUGUCCACAAAUUCCUAUGGCCUCAUAGCCUGGUAAUUUAGGAUGAUUAUUGUGGAUCAAUUCCUUUGUAACUAUUUUCACCUGAGCUCAGAAAUAUUGCCUUUAGGAUUCAUUUUGACCUUCUGCAUAAAUUUUUCUUAUUCAUCUUUUCUUAAACUUCCCCUGAAGUAUGAGCCUGAAAAAGCAUAAUUACAGGAAGUGUAGGAAUUACAAUCACUGAAAAUACUGUUCCAUGGUUUAUAAGUUGCUUGGAUUGCAAUUUGGGCAUGCAUGUAAUUGUUUGAAUUAUGAAUCUUAAGGGUUUUUUUUUUUUUUGUGUGUGUGUGUGUGUGUGUGUGAAAUAUAUAAUAACAUAACAUGAUAUAAUAUUAGGAUGCAUAUUUCUCAUGUUGAAUUUCACAAGUUUCUUAAUCAUCUUCUCUCCCUAUUUGAUAACUUUAUUGGCUUAUAGAUCCACUAUACAAACAGAUGAAGUCAAGUAGCCAGGCCCUAAGUACAGAAGUUCAAUUUGCUACUUUAAAUAAGGGUAAUUAUUUCAAUUUCAUUAACAGGUACUUACUUCAAGUUCAAUAAAAUCAAUACUAAGCACUUCCAAGUCUUUUCUCCUUUCUCCUGCGUUGUGGAAUUUGGUCACUUGCAUCUUCAGAUAUAAAUCUAUCUGCUGCUAUAGUGGGGUCUCAGACAUUAUCACUACAAAAGAAGCACAGCUGAAUCUGGUUUCUACAUCUGGUGGCCAUCAUGAGAACUGGGGAGAGUCCACAGUGGCAGAAGCAAGCCCCAGGACUGAUACCUCAACAGAUGACAAGAAUCAAAGGCAUGAAAGGGGUCAAUUGGCUGCUGUUGUGGCUUCUGAUUCCAGUGAUAAAUCAAAAGAGAAAUCAGGGGAUCAAAAGCCAGCUUGCUCAAAAUUGUGAAGCAGCCAGAAAAAGCCGAUAGGAAAAAAAAAUUUAGGCAUAUGUGAAACAACUUGAGAGUAGCCGCCUAAAGCUAACUCAAUUAGAGCAAGAGCUCCAGUGAGCCCGCCAGCAGCUUCUUGUGAAUCAAUAGGAGCCUUUAACUGAGCAACAAUUGGUAGGCAUUUACAGCUUGCAGCAGUCAUUCCAACAGGCUGAAGAUGCUCUGUCACAAGGCAUGGAGGCAUUGCAACAACCCCUGGCUGAGACAUUGGCCAAGGGCUCACCUGGCUCAUCAGGAUCUUCUGGGAAUGUGGCAAACUAUAUAGGUCAAAUGGCCAUGGCCAUAGGAAAGCUUGGAACACUUGAGGGAUUCCUUCGCCAAGUAAUUUCUUAUUCUGGUUUGAUCCCAGUUAUUUGUUUUCCUAGUAUGGUUCAAGCACUCAUUACUAGGAAGGAAUGAUGAUGAGAUGGAACUCAAUUUUGAAACAGGCUAGAUUUGAAGUGCUAGGAUAAUCCUUACACAUGGUAGAAUAUUUCUUCUUGGCAUUGCUUUAAAAUGCUUUAGCUACUUUGAUAUUGUCAGUAACAUGGUAGUAAAUCUGUAAGUCUAAUUGUUUUGAGGAAUGUAGGCCUCGCACAAUUAUAAAAUUUUAAUUUAUGUUCUUUGUCCAUAAUUAGCCAGUUUGUGUUCCCAUAGCAUUAGGAUUAUUGUUUCCAGAUCGCACUUUUCUGAAUGUUUUCAGAUAUUUCGAACAUGACUAAACCAAAUCCUACAUGUAAAUGUUGUAUUUGUAUAUUUUCUUUAAAGCAUUAUGCAUUUAAGCUUGCUUGGGAAUUUUUAUGGAGGUUGGGGGGAGUCUGCGAAAAAAGAAAAAGAAAAAAAAGAGUGGUUACUUUUCAUUAACUUCCCAUUAUUAUUAUUAUUAUUAUUACUAUUUUUAAAUUCUGCAAAAACUGUCCUCUUGCUAGGUGAAGCAAAUCAAACAUUUAAAAGGCUUAGUACUAGUUUUGAUGCAGCUUGUACAUAACUUGGGCUUCUUGUAACUGUAGAUGAGGCAGUUUUAU